rnacentral:rRNA from 1 species
GAUGAACGCUGGCGGCGUGCCUAAUACAUGCAAGUCGAGCGAACAGACGAUGAGCUUGCUCCUCUGACGUUAGCGGCGGACGGGUGAGUAACACGUGGAUAACCUACCUAUAUGACUGGUAUAACUUCGGGAAACCGGAUCUAAUACCGUAUAACAUGUUGAACCGCAUGGUUCAACAGUGAAAUACGUUCUUUCUGUCUCUUAUAGAUUGAUCCGCGCCGCAUUAGCUAGUUGGUAAGGUAACGGCUUACCAAGGCAACGAUGCGUAGCCGACCUGAGAGGGUGAUCGGCCACACUGGAACUGAGACACGGUCCAGACUCCUACGGGAGGCAGCAGUAGGGAAUCUUCCGCAAUGGGCGAAAGCAUGACGGAGCAACGCCGCGUGAGUGAAGAAGGUCUUCGGAUCGUAAAACUCUGUUAUUAGGGAAGAAAAAAUGUGUAAGUAACUAUGCACGUAGUGACGGUAACAAAUAAGAAAGCAACGGCUAACUACGUG